rnacentral:tRNA from 1 species
GGUAAGAUGGCUGAAUUUUAGGUGGUAGACUGUAAAUCUACUUAUGAGAUAUUUUCUCUCUUACCA